rfam:Phalacrocorax carbo contig42417, whole genome shotgun sequence.
UCAGACUUUUAAUCUGAGGGUCCAGGGUUCAAGCCCCUGUUCAGGCG